CUGGCCUCUCCUUAAAGUCUGCUUUCUGUUGGUGCUAUUGCAAUGAGAGAGAAGCCAUGUAAUCAUAAGUAUCUGAUCGUAGGAUAUGGAGGCUCAGACUUCAGCUGGCCUACCUGAGAUAAAGGGCUGUAGCUUGACAACUGGCACCAGAGAGAAAGUGAAAUGAAAAUCUUUUACGUGAAUGAAAACCUAGAGAGGUUAUCAUCAACAAUCACUGAAAGAACUGGAAGUUUCAACUCCUGAAGAAGAAAACUGGCCUCAUGGAGAAGGCCUGUGAAGCCACAGUGAAUGGUGAUGAGGGGAACCAUAGGUCCAUAUCCACAGGGCCUCCUCUUGCAGGCCUUUCCUUUGAAAGGAGAUGACUUCAUCCCCUAUUAACAUCAGAUAUUUCCAUAAGAUUUAUUUUUGCUGAUGGAGUGCAAGUGGGAGGUAUGUGAGCAAGGUCCAAGCAG
ensembl:lncRNA